rnacentral:misc_RNA from 1 species
UGUCUUUUGGCUCUGCGGAGAAGUUUGAUUAAUCCCCAUAUUUCUGUUUAAGUUAUGGUGCUUUCGUCUGAUAAUGUUCGUGGGUUUCUUCUUGCUGUUUCUUCCAGCGUCUUUAUUGGGUCUAGUACUAUUAUCAAGAAGAAAGGUCUCAUCAAAUCAGGGGCUGCUGGAACCAGAGCAGCAUCUGGAGGCUUUUCGUACUUAUGUGAACCAUGG